rnacentral:snoRNA from 1 species
UCAAUGAUGAAAUUAAUUGGUCCGUGUUGAUGAUGUUUUUUUGAUUAAAAUUUCUCCAAUUACUGAGUCAC